GGCUUAUCUGGGCUUAGCUUCAACUGUAAGUUGGAUUUGGCUCUGUUCCAUGUGUCUCCUCCUGGAUGAAGUGGCUCCCUGGGGCACACUCUUCCCACGGCCGACCGCAGGAGCUGGAGAGGCUGGGCCAAACCCCGCGAACACAGCCCAGGCUUUGCUCGAGUAUCACUGGCCUAAGUAGGUCACAUGACCAAGAUCAAAGCCAAUAGGGCGAGGGUGUCUACUCCUCCUUCUUUGCUACGAGUCUCUUCCUGGUCCCAUAGUCAAGGGAGGGAGUAAAGAACUGAGAACAGUAAUCCAAUUUACCAUGACGUAACUGGACAUUUUCUCCCCCUCACACCUGAAUGGCAGUUCAAUGGGGAAACUGAGGCCCAGAGCGACUAGAGAGUUGGCCCAAGCUUGCAGAGCUGGAACCUUUGGCUCCUGAGCCUGAGUCUUGGGGGGUCUUGCUUGUGGAACCUCAUUUGACCUCUCUUAAAGGUUCACUCAGCGAUCUCUUUGCCUUCCUCCGUUCCUGCCUCCCCACCAAGAUGUGUGAGAAUGUUAUGAGGUUGCGUCUGUGAAAAACACUCUAUCCCGAGUGUGAGGCUGGAUGAACUUCCACACCCUGAAUAUGCUGCUAUCCCCACCAGCAACAUCAAGACACGGAACGUGACCAGUUCCCCCGGUGCCUCCAUCAUACCUCAGACGGACCACUGCUCUGACUUCCAUCACCAUGGAUGCGCUUUGCCCGUUCUUGAACUCCUUAUAAAUGGGAUCAAGCAGUGUGUUCCCUUUUAUGUCUAGUUACUUCUGCUCAACAUCUGUAAGAUCCAUCCAGUGGUGUGCUGAUAAAUUGGCUCUCCAAAAAGAAAAAAAAAGAGAGAGAAAAAGAAGAAAAAAAAGAAAGGCCCUAUUUGUAGUAUUUGCCAAUUUCAGUGAUGUAAAUACUUCCACCUUGACUGAUUUCAAGCCACCAAUGAUUUAACAACCAGCUUGCAAAAUUCCAGAAUAUUUCACAAUCAGCUCUCAUGAGCUGGCAAGAGGCUGCCCCACAGUGUCACAGGCUCCAUUCUAAUUUUGUGUAGUGGAUAUCAUUCAUUCUCCUUUUUGUUUAGUAUUCCUUGUAUGAACAUGUGGGGCGGUCUUUUUAUUAUGGGCUUUUGGCAAAAGCCACUAGUUUUCAGAAUGGGGCAUUCGUUUGUGCAGCUCAUUGCUGCUGGAGGGCGGAGGCGCGAGCUCUGGAGACAGACCUUGCCGGUUCCGGUCCUGUCUCUGCCAGGACCUCUCCUGACUCCCGUUCUCAGCCUCAGCUCUGCAGACGGGAAGCACCGUACCCACCUCACAGGCCUGUGAGCACACUUGGUACUCAGUAGGUGCUCAAUAAAUGUUCCCUCCAUCCCUUUCUUUCUCUUUCUCAUCCCAGGGAGGGUGAUGGUACCUGGGUCAAGUCACGUUGGGGUGGAUCUGUGUCCCUGCACGGGUCUCUGGGCCGUUCUGCUCUGGUGCCCAGUGCGCCUGCAGGAUCCUCAGCUUUGUUUCCAUUUAGUUUCUUUGAAGAGGAAGAAGAGAAGGAAGGAGGAAAGGAGGGAGAGAAAGAGGGAAGGAAGGAAACAGGCCUGUCAGUUUCAUCGCUGCGGGCCUGGCCUGGAGGAAGAGCUCUGUUUAUGGCUUGAUUUGGCUGCCAUCAUGGGCCCAGGACAUCUCUUCACAUGUGAGAAUGACGUUCCUUUUGUUCCUGAGCUGCCUUCCUGCUUCUAAAUAGAUUAUCACCACCCAGGUGUCCUCUGGCGAGACACCCCAUAUCCAGUGGAAUGUGUAAGGGAACCCCGGAAAGGCUGCCAAAAGAAGGACACAAAUGUGACAAAGAGUGUCACAGAGUGACAGUCUCUGGACAUAUCUUUUUUUCAGGGUGAAGGGGAACACGGAGGGGACGCCAGGGCCUUCUCCCAGACCACCUGCCUGGGGGCCUCCGCAGGACACGGAGCCGCUGACACUCAGCUCGCCGUCCACCGGGGCCGGUGUCCUCCGAUGAGCCUCUCCUGAAGGGAGGGCAAAAAAUCUCUUCCAUGUCAUUGUCCCAGUGCACUUUCUAUCUGCAACAGGCUGAAAAGUCCCCUCCUGCCUCCCUUGUCAAUUGUAAAAGCACUGAUUGUGGCCGAGUGAAACCAGAUGCCCCUCCCGGCCCGCGAGUGCAGCCCUUGGCCCCCCGACUGCAGGGCGUGAUGGGGCACACCGUCAGCUUCCAAACCCACGACUGUUUUCUUUGGAUCCCCCUCCAGCACCCCAGUUCCAGGACUUGGGGGCUCCCGGUGAAAGAUGCUGGUUUCCAUGACCUCUUCAAUCAACUGAGUCCCGGGGACAAAAACCCUGUUCGGACCCCCAGCUGGAGCCCCACUUCUUGGCAGUCUGUCUGUGGCUCCUGCCGCCGCUGCUUCCCCAGGGCUUUGGGAUGAUAUCUCAAAGAGGCAGCAUGGCAUAAGGAA